rnacentral:rRNA from 1 species
AUCCUGUCACCAGGUAGCUGCCUUCUGUACCCCCCAUUGUAACACGUGUGUAGCCCCGGACGUAAGGGCCGUGCUGAUUUGACGUCAUCCCCACCUUCCUCACAUCUUACGACGGCAGUCUCUCUAGAGUCCUCAGCAUGACCUGUUAGUAACUAAAGAUAAGGGUUGCGCUCGUUAUGGCACUUAAGCCGACACCUCACGGCACGAGCUGACGACAACCAUGCAGCACCUUCACAUUUGUCUUACGACUAUACUGUUUCCAAUAUAUUCAAAUGCAAUUUAAGCCCGGGUAAGGUUCCUCGCGUAUCAUCGAAUUAAACCACAUGUUCCUCCGCUUGUGCGGGCCCCCGUCAAUUCCUUUGAGUUUCACCGUUGCCGGCGUACUCCCCAGGUGGAAUACUUAAUGCUUUCGCUUGGCCGCUUACUGUAUAUCGCAAACAGCGAGUAUUCAUCGUUUACUGUGUGGACUACCAGGGUAUCUAAUCCUGUUUGAUACCCACACUUUCGAGCAUCAGUGUCAGUUGCAGUCCAGUGAGCUGCCUUCGCAAUCGGAGUUCUUCGUGAUAUCUAAGCAUUUCACCGCUACACCACGAAUUCCGCCCACCUCUACUGUACUCAAGACAGCCAGUAUCAACUGCAAUUUUACGGUUGAGCCGCAAACUUUCACAACUGACUUAACUGUCCACCUACGCUCCCUUUAAACCCAAUAAAUCCGGAUAACGCUCGGAUCCUCCGUAUUACCGCGGCUGCUGGCACGGAGUUAGCCGAUCCUUAUUCAUAUGGUACAUACAAAAUUCCACACGUGGAAAACUUUAUUCCCAUAUAAAAGAAGUUUACAACCCAUAGGGCAGUCAUCCUUCACGCUACUUGGCUGGUUCAGGCCUGCGCCCAUUGACCAAUAUUCCUCACUGCUGCCUCCCGUAGGAGUUUGGACCGUGUCUCAGUUCCAAUGUGGGGGACCUUCCUCUCAGAACCCCUAUCCAUCGAAGGUUUGGUGAGCCGUUACCUCACCAACUGCCUAAUGGAACGCAUCCC